GGGCUCAGGGCUGUCACUGGGGUUGCUUUCACAGGACGCCCCCCAGCCCAGCUCAGGACCCACGGAACAGCACAAGGCAACAGAGACGUUGACAGCAGCGAUGGUGAUGGAGAUGUUGAGAGUGGAGGAGCUCUUGGCUCGCUGCAGCCACCCCAGCAUUCCCGGAGCUCCCUGCUGGCCCCGGAGGAGUCCGAGUGCUCUGUGCUGGAAGAAGAGGAGUCGAGGCUGCUGGAGACAUCAGGGCUCAGUGGCUCUGUGGCAGUGAUGCGCUGCAUCAGCUCUUGCGUUUGGCAGCUGUUUGCAGUGGCUUUGGUCCCCUCUCUUGUGACACCGGGCAGGUCCUGCUUGUGCUGGGGGACCUCCAGAGCCGCUUCUGAAAAAGCAAGAACAUCCCCCCGAACGAUGAUGGCAGCCUUCCCACAGCCACUCGGUGCAGGCAGCCACCUCUGGGGGUCACCUCUGCGGAGCACAGUCUCACCG
rnacentral:lncRNA from 1 species